rnacentral:rRNA from 1 species
CAUGGCUCAGAAUGAACGCUGGCGGCGCGCCUAACACAUGCAAGUCGAGCGAGGCCGCGGGGCAACCCGCGAGUCGAGCGGCGAACGGGUGAGUAACGCGUGGGUAACCUACCCUGGAGUGGGGGAUAGCUUCGCGAAAGUGGAGGUAAUACCGCAUACGCCCACCGGGCCACAAGGCCUGGUGUGGAAAGGCUGGGAUCUUCGGACCAGCCGCUCCUGGAUGGGCCCGCGUUCGAUUAGCUAGUUGGUAGGGUAACGGCCUACCAAGGCUACGAUCGAUAGCCGGCCUGAGAGGGUGAUCGGCCACAUUGGGACUGAGACACGGCCCAGACUCCUACGGGAGGCAGCAGUGGGGAAUAUUGGGCAAUGGGCGAAAGCCUGACCCAGCGACGCCGCGUGGGGGAUGAAGGCCUUCGGGUUGUAAACCUCUGUCAGGGGAGACGAAAGUCUCGCGGUGAAUAGCCGCGA